rnacentral:rRNA from 1 species
AAUGAACAUUGGCGGCAUGGAUUAGGCAUGCAAGUCGAGCGAUAAGUGUAGCAAUACACGGAAAGCGGCGGAAGGGAGAGUAAUACGUGGGAAUCUGCCCUUAGACCUGGGAUAGCAGCGGGAAACUGCUGGUAAUACCAGAUAAUGUCUAUGGACCAAAGGUGUGAUUCCGUCUAGGGAUGAGCCCACGUCCUAUUAGCUAGUUGGUAGGGUAAUGGCCUACCAAGGCGAUGAUGGGUAGCGGGUGUGAGAGCAUGACCCGCCUCACUGGGACUGAGACACUGCCCAGACACCUACGGGUGGCUACAGUCGAGAAUCUUCGGCAAUGGGCGCAAGCCUGACCGGGCGAUGCCGCGUGCGGGAUGAAGGCCUUCGGGUUGUAAACCGCUGUCGAGGGGGAGCAACUUCCAUAGAGUUAUCUUUAUGGAUUGAGUGAUCCCUGGAGGAAGGACGGGCUAAGUUCGUGCCAGCAGCCGCGGUAAGAC